AGAGUUUGAUCCUGGCUCAGAGCGAACGCUGGCGGCGUGCUUAACACAUGCAAGUCGAGUGCGCGUCUGUAGCAAUACAGAUGGCGCACGGCGCACGGGUGCGUAACACGUGGGUAAUCUGCCCUUCGAAGGGGAAUAACUCGCCGAAAGGCGAGCUAAUUCCGCAUAACAUUCCGAGGACUUUGGUUCUUGGAUUCAAAGGCGUAAGUCGUCGGAGGAGGAGCCCGCGCACGAUUAGCUAGUUGGUAGGGUAACGGCCUACCAAGGCUAUGAUCGUUAGCUGGUCCGAGAGGAUGGCCAGCCACACUGGAACUGAGACACGGUCCAGACUCCUACGGGAGGCAGCAGUGGGGAAUCUUGCACAAUGGGCGAAAGCCUGAUGCAGCGACGCCGCGUGGGGGAUGAAGCUUCUCGGAGUGUAAACCCCUUUCGACCCGGACGAAUGCCCCGCAAGGGGACUGACGGUACGGGUAUAAGAAGCCCCGGCUAACUACGUGCCAGCAGCCGCGGUAAGACGUAGGGGGCCAGCGUUGCUCGGAAUUACUGGGUGUAAAGGGUUCGUAGGCGGUGUGGCAAGUCGGGAGUGAAAUCUCUAGGCUCAACCUAGAGUCUGCUUCCGAAACUGCUGUGCUUGAGUGUGGGAGAGGCGCGUGGAAUUGCAGGUGUAGCGGUGAAAUGCGUAGAUAUCUGCAGGAACACCCGUGGCGAAAGCGGCGCGCUGGACCACUACUGACGCUGAGGAACGAAAGCUAGGGGAGCAAACAGGAUUAGAUACCCUGGUAGUCCUAGCCCUAAACGAUCAGGACUUGGGGUGCCACCCGUUCGGGUGUCGUCCCGGAGCUAACGCGUUAAGUCCUGCACCUGGGGAGUACGGUCGCAAGACUGAAACUCAAGGAAUUGACGGGGGCCCGCACAAGCGGUGGACAUGUGGUUCAAUUCGACGCUACGCGAGGAACCUUACCUGGGCUCGAAAUGCUUCUGACAAGCUGUAGAAAUACGGGCCUUCCCGCAAGGGAC
rnacentral:rRNA from 1 species